GGAAUAUUGGUCAAUGGAGGGAACUCUGAACCAGCCAUGCCGCGUGCAGGAUGAAGGCCCUCGGGUUGUAAACUGCUUUUGUACGGAACGAAAAGCCUCUUUCUAAUAAAGAGGGGUGAUGACGGUACCGUAAGAAUAAGCACCGGCUAACUACGUGCCAGCAGCCGCGGUAAUACGUAGGGUGCGAGCGUUAAUCGGAAUUACUGGGCGUAAAGCGUGCGCAGGCGGUCUUGCAAGACAGUGGUGAAAUCCCCGGGCUCAACCUGGGAACUGCCAUUGUGACUGCAAGGCUGGAGUACGGCAGAGGGGGAUGGAAUUCCGCGUGUAGCAGUGAAAUGCGUAGAUAUGCGGAGGAACACCGAUGGCGAAGGCAGUCCCCUGGGCCUGUACUGACGCUCAUGCACGAAAGCGUGGGGAGC
rnacentral:rRNA from 1 species